AACGAACGCUGGCGGCAUGCCUAACACAUGCAAGUCGAACGCGUGUAACAAUACACGAGUGGCGGACGGGUGAGUAACGCGUGGGAACCUGCCCAGUGGUAGGGAAUAACUGCGGGAAACUGCAGCUAAUACCCUAUACGCCCUUUCGGGGUAAGGAAUUCUAUCGCCACUUGGUAGGGGCCCGGCCGGUCCGGAGUUAGUCUAGUUGGUCGGGGUACGGG
rnacentral:rRNA from 1 species